UCUUUAGCAACCUUGGGAGUUGGAUCUGUUUCUGCUGCCGGCACUGGUUUUACUCUCCACCAAAUUGAGCUCCUCCCCACUGUAUUCAGGUCCACACUUUCAGGCAUUGUUUCAGGAUUCCAGAGAACAGGGGCAAUACUGGCUCCUCUCCUGAUGACCUUACUGGGGUAUUCUCUCCGUCUGCCCUGGAUCAUCUAUGGAGUCAUCAUCCUCUUUGCUGGCCUUGUUAUCUUGCCCCUUCCAGAAACCAGGAAUCAGCCUCUUGUUAACACCCUCCAGGAUGUGGAAAAUAAGUAAGCAGAUGCCAUGAUCAUCACCUGAGUAGGAAGUGACCAUG
rnacentral:lncRNA from 1 species